rnacentral:rRNA from 1 species
CCUACGGGUGGCAGCAGUGAGGAAUAUUGGUCAAUGGACGAGAGUCUGAACCAGCCACGUAGCGUGAAGGAUGACUGCCCUAUGGGUUGUAAACUUCUUUUAUAUGGGAAUAAAAUGUUCCACGUGUGGGAUUUUGUCUGUACCAUAUGAAUAAGGAUCGGCUAACUCCGUGCCAGCAGCCGCGGUAAUACGGAGGAUCCGAGCGUUAUCCGGAUUUAUUGGGUUUAAAGGGAGCGUAGGGGGAUUUUUAAGUCAGUUGUGAAAGUUUGCGGCUCAACCGGAAGAUUGCAGUUGAAACUGGCAGUCUGGAGUACAGUAGAGGUAGGCGGAAUUCGUGGUGUAGCGGUGAAAUGCGUAGAUAUCACGAAGAACGCCGAUUGCGAAGGCAGCUUACUGGACUGCAACUGACACUGAGGCGCGAAAGUGUGGGUAUCAAACAGGAUUAGAUACCCCGGUAGUC